CCCUCUGCCUGGUUCCCUGUAGAUUCACUUCUCACAGUGAGGGAACCGACAGAAGUGAAUUUACAGGGAACCAGGCAGAGGG